rnacentral:rRNA from 1 species
GCAUGUCAUGCUAUCAUGCAAGUCGAGCGAACUGAUUAGAAGCUUGCUUCUAUGACGUUAGCGGCGGACGGGUGAGUAACACGUGGGCAACCUGCCUGUAAGACUGGGAUAACUUCGGGAAACCGAAGCUAAUACCGGAUAGGAUCUUCUCCUUCAUGGGAGAUGAUUGAAAGAUGGUUUCGGCUAUCACUUACAGAUGGGCCCGCGGUGCAUUAGCUAGUUGGUGAGGUAACGGCUCACCAAGGCAACGAUGCAUAGCCGACCUGAGAGGGUGAUCGGCCACACUGGGACUGAGACACGGCCCAGACUCCUACGGGAGGCAGCAGUAGGGAAUCUUCCGCAAUGGACGAAAGUCUGACGGAGCAACGCCGCGUGAGUGAUGAAGGCUUUCGGGUCGUAAAACUCUGUUGUUAGGGAAGAACAAGUACGAGAGUAACUGCUCGUACCUUGACGGUACCUAACCAGAAAGCCACGGCUAACUACGUGCCAGCAGCCGCGGUAAUACGUAGGUGGCAAGCGUUAUCCGGAAUUAUUGGGCGUAAAGCGCGCGCAGGCGGUUUCUUAAGUCUGAUGUGAAAGCCCACGGCUCAACCGUGGAGGGUCAUUGGAAACUGGGGAACUUGAGUGCAGAAGAGA